rnacentral:rRNA from 1 species
GACGAACGCUGGCGGCGUGCCUAAUACAUGCAAGUAGAACGCUGAAGAGAGGAGCUUGCUCUUCUUGGAUGAGUUGCGCACGGGUGAGUAACGCGUAGGUAACCUGCCUGGUAGCGGGGGAUAACUAUUGGAAACGAUAGCUGAUACCGCAUAAAAUUGAUUAUUGCAUGAUAAUUAAUUGAAAGAUGCAACUGCAUCACUACCAGAUGGACCUGCGUUGUAUUAGGUAGUUGGUGAGGUAACGGCUCACCAAGGCGACGAUACAUAGCCGACCUGAGAGGGGGAUCGGCCACACUGGGACUGAGACACGGCCCAGACUCCUACGGGAGGCAGCCGUAGGGAAUCUUCGGGAAUGGGGGGAACCCUGACCGAGCAACGCCGCGGGAGGGAAGAAGGGUGUCGGAUCGUAAAGAUCGGUUGUAAGGGAAGAACGGGUGUGAGAGUGGAAAGUUCACACUGUGACGGUAUCUUACCAGAAAGGGACGGCUAACUACGUG